rnacentral:rRNA from 1 species
GACGAACGCUGGCGGCGUGCUUAACACAUGCAAGUCGAACGGUGAAGCGCCUUCCUUUUUGGUGGGUGUGGAUGAGUGGCGAACGGGUGAGUAACACGUGAGUAACCUGCCCCCUUCUUCUGGAUAACCGCAUGAAAGUGUGGCUAAUACGGGAUAUUCUGGGUCUGUCGCAUGAUGGGUCUGGGAAAGAUAUUGUUUCGGUGGGGGAUGGGCUCGCGGCCUAUCAGCUUGUUGGUGGGGUGAUGGCCUACCAAGGCGGUGACGGGUAGCCGGCCUGAGAGGGCGGACGGUCACACUGGGACUGAGACACGGCCCAGACUCCUACGGGAGGCAGCAGUGGGGAAUAUUGCACAAUGGGCGCAAGCCUGAUGCAGCGACGCCGCGUGAGGGAUGGAGGCCUUCGGGUUGUGAACCUCUUUCGCCAGUGAAGCAGGCCUGCCUCGUUUGUGGGUGGGUUGACGGUAGCUGGAGAAGAAGCGCCGGCUAACUACGUG